rnacentral:rRNA from 1 species
AAAACUUUCAACAACGGAUCUCUUGGUUCUGGCAUCGAUGAAGAACGCAGCGAAAUGCGAUAAGUAAUGCGAAUUGCAGAAUUCAGUGAAUCAUCGAAUCUUUGAACGCACAUUGCGCCCCUUGGUAUUCCGAGGGGCAUGCCUGUUCGAGCGUCAUUAC